UACACAGGACAGAUUUCCCUAUAGUUUCCCCUUAUGGCUGGUUCAAACUAGCCUUAGCCAAUCAGAGCUAGAAUUUAUGGGACAUCCUGUCACUCAAAACGCGCAUAAGCUCUCCUGCAGCAACGCCUCAAUUUUUGAGGAAAUAGCCACCCCCGAAAUAAUGAGCACGUGUCCCCUGGACAUGUACCACGUGAGAGACGUGGCCCGAAGUCAUGUGGAGAAGCAACAGCCCGGCUCUUGUCUGCAAAGAACCACUGAUUUUAUGGAAAAGACUGGAAACCAUGCAGGAGAAGGAAAAGAACAGGGAAUGCCACGGGACACCAUAUUUCGAUGGAGCCCACGGUCCUUCCCGAUGGAGCCCUCCUCCUCGAUGGAGCUCUCAGCCAGAGGAGAGCGUGUUCCGGGUUCCAAGCCAGGAUGUCGGAAUGAGCCCUGGUGCACCGCCCGUGGGAGCAUGUCUGUGUACCCAAAGAAAACAUUACAACUUGAGUAA
rnacentral:lncRNA from 1 species